rnacentral:rRNA from 1 species
UACGAACUGUGCAAACGUUAUUCGGAUUCACUGGGCUUAAAGGGUGCGUAGGCGGCCAUGUAAGUCGGGUGUGAAAUCCCCCGGCUUAACCGGGGAACUGCGCCCUAAACUGUGUGGCUUGAGUGAGAUAGGGGUGUGUGGAACUUCCGGUGGAGCGGUGAAAUGUGUUGAUAUCGGAAGGAACGCCGGUGGCGAAAGCGACACACUGGGUCUCAACUGACGCUGAGGCACGAAAGCCAGGGGAGCGAACGGG